ensembl:lncRNA
GCCAAACUAUUUUAUCUCUUGCCAUUUUUCCCCUAAAGAAAAAACAUCAGGAUUUUUCCCCUCUGCAUUUUUACAGAAAACCCUUGGGUAGUUUAGAAUGUAAACAAGCCCCAUGAACUUGUAUUAAAUGAUUAAAGGUUAGGAGAAAGGAGGACGUUUUCCAAACCCUUUCAUUUUGCAGAAGUUUAACCUAAAACAAAGCAUCAUCGACCAUCAUUCAUCUUUCAGCUUCCAUCCGGAAUAUGGAGACGUUGAAUAUUGACAGAAGACUCAGGAGGAGGGAGAAGGGAAGGAGGAAGAGAAAAAAAGUGGGCUUCAAAGCCAGCAGCCAAAAGCAGAAGAAACAUGAGAGUAGAUUUUCUUGAAUCAGGAAAGGAAGGGAGGGCUGAUGAGAGAGGCCUGCUUGCUUUCUUUGUGUCCUAGAGAAACAGGCUCAAGCUGGACUUCCUGAUAACAAAGCAAUUGUGCAAGGACAGAGUGGACUGAUGGCAACAAAACCCUAUGGACAAAGGAUCUCCUGAAAACUGAGCAUGUUAAAGAAAAAAUGAAAGCUGUUCUGUUACUAUUGUAGAGACCGUGAUACCAGCAACAAAUCCAGAGACUGCCUAUUUCAUGCAUGUACAUUCACAUGGAUGCAUGUAUGUUGAUGUACAUCCAUAUGUGUACUUAUAUUUACAGUCUUGACUUUCAAGAACCUGCAUUAAAGAACCAGGCCUGUAGUUAAAAAGGAAUGUUUCGACUAAAAUCUUUUUUCAGAAGAUGCUGAUUCAUCAAAGUGAAGGUUUUUGUAGAUCAGGGCAGUUCCUUUGGAAUUUUCCUUUCAAAUUAUAUCAGCUUCUUUCUUAAAACAUUAAAAUGUUUUAUUUAGGAGGUCAAGAUGAUCUUCCUUUUUGGAAUAGAAAGUAAAAUUGAGUCCCAAAAUAGGAAGAAUUAGCAGGUCUAUUUAAAAAUGCAGUAUUUUGAAACUUUCAGAAGAAACCAGCUCACCUGUCCAACUGAACAUAUGAAAAAGUGAAACAUCAGCAUCUUUCUCACUUGAGAUGGAAUUCUGUUUCAGCUUUCAUUACUUCGAUAAAAUCCCUCCCUUAUUCAAUUUCACACUGACUCUCUAGUUACAGUACUCCUCUACCUUACUGGUUUUGUUCCUCUCUGCAGAAGUUAUGGAUUGUAUUCAAAGACAUUUUCAGCCAGAGUUCAAGGACAUAAGCUUUAUGACCUCUCUGAAGAGGAACCACGUAUUUUCAGGAAAGAAAUGUACCACAGGAUGUGUACACACAUUUUUGGGUUUGCAUGUUUUUCCUUGGUUUUCUCCCCUCUGUGUACUUCAUGCAUGCUAUGUUAAAUAUUUUGGCAUCAGAUUCUCUAUUAAUACAAAUGGAUGGUAAUUCAUUGUAAUCAAAACACCUGUGAUCUUAU